rnacentral:rRNA from 1 species
GACGAACGCUGGCGGCGUGCUUAACACAUGCAAGUCGAACGGAAAGGCCCUGCUUGCAGGGUACUCGAGUGGCGAACGGGUGAGUAACACGUGGGUGAUCUGCCCUGCACUUCGGGAUAAGCCUGGGAAACUGGGUCUAAUACCGGAUAGGAGCCAUUUUUAGUGUGAUGGUUGGAAAGUUUUUUCGGUGUAGGAUGAGCUCGCGGCCUAUCAGCUUGUUGGUGGGGUAAUGGCCUACCAAGGCGGCGACGGGUAGCCGGCCUGAGAGGGUGGACGGCCACAUUGGGACUGGGAUACGGCCCAGACUCCUACGGGAGGCAGGAGGGGGGAAUAUUGCACAAUGGGCGCAAGCCUGAUGCAGCGACGCCGCGUGGGGGAUGACGGCCUUCGGGUUGUAAACUCCUUUCGCUAGGGACGAAGCUUUUUGUGACGGUACCUAGAUAAGAAGCACCGGCUAACUACGUG